GACGAGCCACACAAACGUUAUUCGGAAUUACUGGGCGUAAAGGGCUCGUAGGCGGCCAACUAAGUCAUACGUGAAAUCCCUCAGCUUAACUGGGGAACUGCGUGUGAUACUGGAUGGCUUGGAUUUGGGAGAGGGAUGCGGAAUUCCAGGUGUAGCGGUGAAAUGCGUAGAUAUCUGGAGGAACACCGGUGGCGAAGGCGGCAUCCUGGACCAAUAUUGACGCUGAGGAGCGAAAGCCAGGGGAGCAAACGGG
rnacentral:rRNA from 1 species